CAUGGAACAACCAAGUCAAAACCAAGCAAUGAGUUUUAGCAGAGGAGUAAACCCUAAUUUGUAAUAGCAGCAACAUUGAAAAUUUCAACAAGUAGUAGACAAGGGAAAAGGAAAAGCAAAAGAUUCCAGAAAUUAUCUAGUUGGGUUAUGCGAUGGGGCCCAAAGGAUACAUAUUACAAUGAGUAAUAAAUAAGUAUGCAAGGACGUUCCAAAAAGCUGGGAUGAUCCAAGCUCUUUCCCACAACUCGCUCAAGGGAUCUGAUGCAUUGAAAAAAACCUAGAUCUGGUCUGUAAAAGACACAGAGACAGAGAGAGAGAGAGAGAGAGAGAGAGAGAGAGAGAGAGAGAGAGAGGAACCCUAGAGGAGUAGAGAUGGAUUGAGAAAGGGGAAACAAAGAGAGAUGGUCGAUUGAGAGGGAAAAGGGGAAAUAGAGAGAGAGGGUCGAUUGAGAAAGGGA